CUUCUUCCUGCUCUCUGCUCUGUCGCUGCCAUGUGAUCCUGGCAAGACAGAACACAUUCUGCGGGUGUCUUAUGAUUAUGGUUGAUAAUUAAGACUGAGAUAGCAGAUAAGAAAUCCUAGUCAUUGGCCACCAGCAUUGUAUCUAAUAUAAGUCUCCAUGUGUUAUUUGGGGCCCUAACACAGCAGGCGGAACUCCAGCAGCUGGCAGAAAGACUUACAUUACAGGGAAGGGGAGACAGAAGAAAAGGAGAGAAAGAAAGGCAUCUAAGAAUAAAUGACCAGGAAAGUGGAGAAGUCUUGCCAGCUGUUUUGAGAUUGUCAAUUCUGUCCCAGUCAGGAAAGUUACACUUAGUGUUUUGAUAAAGCUUGAGGGGGACCUUUCUUGGGGGACCUCAGUGGAUUCCAUGGGGGUUGAGGUUGACCAAGGCAGAGGGACAAACAUGCCAGGCAACAGAGCUUAAGUGAGAAGUUUUAAUAAAAACAGAAGGGAUGGGGAAGGAAGGAGAAAGGAGGUAAAAAGACAUGGAUACAGGACAGAAUAGAAGAGGGAGACAGGAGAAGUCCUGUCUGCCCCAGGGGAGCAGUGGGAAAGAGGAGCGGACAAAGAGAAGGGAGCAGAAAUAGAGCAUAAGUGGUUGGGAGGUCUUUCUUUUAAAGGGAUCCUUUGCACUUGCUUGCAGACUACACACUCAUGGAACCCUGGGCUGACCAGGGUACUGCCUGAGUGCAUUCUGCCAGGUGACAGGGGCAGGCCAGCAUAAUGCCUGAAUCCUAACACCUAGCACAUUUCCACAUGAGAUGUUUACUCAGGAAAAUCAGUUUCCUUCUGCCUGGUUCAUAUUGUAGAAGGUAUCAUUAAGUAUGUCAAACUCCAAAAUGAACGUACAGCUGGGAAUUCAGCACAUUUCACCCAGCCAUGUACAGCUGUGGGCAGCAGCUCACAGGUGUGAACUAGAAACAACUCUUGGAUGGGGCCACAGAGUCCAGUUCUAUCCUGUGACUCUGUUCUUCCAAGUUGGCCUUGAACUCAUAGAGAUCCACUUGCCUCUGCCUCCCACGUGCUGUGAUCAAAGGAGCUGGGAUUACAGGUCUAUGCCAUGAUGGGAAUUGAACCUAGAGCUUCUUGUGUGCUAGGCAAGCACUCUACUAGACAAGGACUCUCCUGUCAUUCAGUGCUCUGUACUCCAGGAUUGCUGGCCCUCAAGCUUCUGGAGCUUUCCCUGCCUCCCAUGUCCCCAUAGCAGCUCUGGGAUUACAGAAGCGUGCACUUUGUCCCCAGCCAUGAUGUGGCUUCUGGGCAUCCAAACUCAGGCCAGCCUUGUGGAGCAAGUGCUUUACCCAGUGUGUCAUCUCUGAAGCCACAAGAAGCAUUUGGGGGAAAUGGCUCAGAAGUCAGAACCACACUCUUGCAGGAGACCUGAGCUCUGUUCCAAGCACACACAUCAGGCAGCUUACAACUGCCUAUGACUCCAGCUCCAGAAAACACAAAGGAUUUUUGAUGGACGAUGUAUGAGGGCCAAAGAAAAGCCUCCAGAGAUAGGUGAGGCAGGGUUUUAUAUGCCUCCCUGUCUAAAUCCUGGUUCUUUUGAGUCUAUCUUGGAUGGUGACCAUGAACUGCAGUGUGGAGAAUCAACUUCUCAAUCUGCAUUUCAAAGUAAAGUGUCAGGAACUUGAACCUAAGUGGGGAUGCUUUCUUCUCAGUAACGGUACUGUUGCCUUUGCUGUUAUAAUGGUCAAGUUGACUGGAGACCUACAGAGAGUAAUUCUUAGGCAUUUUUAACUACACUAAGCCGUCUAGGACUACAAGAAGACAAGUGUGCCUCGUUCUCUUUCACAAGUCCUUGCAAAGAAGAUGUCUCCUCUGGCUCCUCCCUCCAAGCUGGGGACUGUAGUCUUAGAGAUUUUUCUAUUUCUACCCACCUCUUUUUUUCCAGCAUAGUCUUUUCCUAGGUCAAUUUCUCUCUUUGUGAGUGGGGGACACCUGGGAGUGAGAGGCUGCAUAGCUGUCUUCCCUUCUCAUCUGGGAGUCUAAAAUAGGUUCUGUCUUUCUGUGGGACAGAAAGAAAUACUGAGUCUGGAUCUGGUACAUCCUCUUGCAUGUCACAUGGCCAUGCAAUGUUAAAUGUCACCUGUGCCAUUUGUUCACUUUGCAAGUGAACAAAUGCCUAUCAUCUAUUUUGAGAAAAACUUGGUGUGAUGGCUACUAUUGAUUGUUGCCUAGGAGACCAAGCUUCUGGGCAUGCCUGUGAGGGCAUAUCUAGAUUUGCUUAAUUAAGAUCUACCCUAAAUGGAUGACUGAAUUAAAAAGGAGAAAGCUAGCUCAGCCUCGGUGCUCAUCUCUCUCUUCUUCCAGACUGUGGACAUAAUGUGACCAGCUGCCUCAUGUUCCUGCUGCCGUGUCUUUCCCACUGGGAUGGACUUACUCUCAGACAGUGAUCCAGAAGAAACCCUUCUCCCCUGAAAUUGCUUUGGCCAGGCAUUUUGUCAGAGCAAUGAGACAAGUAUCUAAUACAGUGAAGUUAAAAUAGGAGGCCUUUGUCGCUUGCCAGGAAAGCAGGAGUUAGAAUGAACAAGGCCCUCACAUUCCUGCAUGGAUUAUUUCCUGGACAGGCAGUAUAUGGGGGAAUUAGAUUUUAGGAGCAGCUUUCCUUCCUCUUCCACACACUCCAAAUGAACACCAGGCUUUGCUCUGAAGCCACACCUUGUGGCAUUCCUGUAGAUACAGAACCUCCUGACUACUUCUAUUUCUCUGCCUGCCUCCCUGCCUGCUGUUCCUGUCUGCACCAGAGAAGUGGCCCUGUGAAUGGAAACCCUUUUGGACACUGACUUCUGCUUCUCUAGGAUCAAGGAUGGUUCUUUGUCCUACAUUUACAUGUGACCUUUGGCAAGUAUAAAGUGCUCUAGUAUUUAAAUUAGAGAGUGAUUUAUCCUAAUAUAAUGUAGGGCUAAGCAUUGCAGAUGGAAGCUUAUUGGGGGGGAGUGAUGACUCAUUUCUUUCUAGGAUUUCUUCCAACUCUGAGAAUCUAGGAUGCUUUGAGGACCUUAUUUUUAGGAACAGAAAUUAGAAAUGAAUUGACUAUCCCUCAGAGAAAGAGAGAGAGAGAGAGAGAGAGAGAGAGAGAGAGAGAGAGAGAGAGAAUCUUCUUACCUCAUCUUUGGAUUUUUGUUCCAUAAUAUCACAGAUGUCUAUUUCAAAUACCACAGUUCAUUUGCUUGGUGGAGUCUGGUUCAAUAAUACCAUUAUAUAUUUAUGUGGGUUUUGUGGGGGAGCAAAGAUCAAUAGAGAUAUUUCCAGCCAUGUGUCUGGAAUUAUGGCUUUCUUUUCCUGCUCUAUUUAUUAUUUAUU
ensembl:lncRNA